CAAUAGCGUAUAUUAAAGUUGUUGCAGUUAAAAGCUCGUAGUUGGAUUUCUGGGAGGGUGCCAAUGUCCGCCAACGUGCGUGUGCAGCGGCGCCCUUCCAUCCUUCUGUUAACGCCUCUUGGCAUUCAUUUGCUGGUAGCGGGCUCAGAUAUUUUACCUUGAGAAAAUUAGAGUGUUUCAGGCAGGCUUGGCCGGAAUACAUUAGCAUGGAAUAAUGGAAUAGGACUAUGGUCUCUUUGUUGGUUUGAGGGACUGCAGUAAUGAUUAAUAGGGAUAGUUGGGGGCAGUUAGUAUUCUGAAGCGAGAGGUGAAAUUCUUGGACCUUCGGAAGACUAACAACUGCGAAAGCAUUUGCCUAGGAUGUUCUCUUUAAUCAAGAACGAAAGUUGGGGGAUCGAAGACGAUUAGAUACC
rnacentral:rRNA from 1 species